rnacentral:rRNA from 1 species
UACGUAGGGUGCAAGCGUUAAUCGGAAUUACUGGGCGUAAAGCGUGCGCAGGCGGUUUUGUAAGUCAGAUGGGAAAUCCCCGGGCUUAACCUGGGAACUGCGUUUGAAACUACAAGGCUAGAGUACGGCAGAGGGGGAUGGAAUUCCGCGUGUAGCAGUGAAAUGCGUAGAUAUGCGGAGGAACACCGAUGGCGAAGGCAAUCCCCUGGGCCUGUACUGACGCUCAUGCACGAAAGCGUGGGGAGCAAACAGG